rnacentral:rRNA from 1 species
UGGGGAAUAUUGCACAAUGGGCGCAAGCCUGAUGCAGCCAUGCCGCUUGUGUGAAGAAGGCCUUCGGGUUGUAAAGCACUUUCAGCGGGGAGGAAGGCGAUAAGGUUAAUAACCUCAUCGAUUGACGUUACCCGCAGAAGAAGCACCGGCUAACUCCGUGCCAGCAGCCGCGGUAAUACGGAGGGUGCAAGCGUUAAUCGGAAUUACUGGGCGUAAAGCGCACGCAGGCGGUUGAUUGAGUCAGAUGUGAAAUCCCCGGGCUUAACCCGGGAAUUGCAUCUGAUACUGGUCAGCUAGAGUCUUGUAGAGGGGGGUAGAAUUCCAUGUGUAGCGGUGAAAUGCGUAGAGAUGUGGAGGAAUACCGGUGGCGAAGGCGGCCCCCUGGACAAAGACUGACGCUCAGGUGCGAAAGCGUGGGGAGCAAACAGG